rnacentral:rRNA from 1 species
ACAUGCAAGUCGAGCGAACAGACGAGGAGCUUGCUCCUCUGACGUUAGCGGCGGACGGGUGAGUAACACGUGGAUAACCUACCUAUAAGACUGGGAUAACUUCGGGAAACCGGAGCUAAUACCGGAUAAUAUAUUGAACCGCAUGGUUCAAUAGUGAAAGACGGUUUUGCUGUCACUUAUAGAUGGAUCCGCGCCGCAUUAGCUAGUUGGUAAGGUAACGGCUUACCAAGGCAACGAUGCGUAGCCGACCUGAGAGGGUGAUCGGCCACACUGGAACUGAGACACGGUCCAGACUCCUACGGGAGGCAGCAGUAGGGAAUCUUCCGCAAUGGGCGAAAGCCUGACGGAGCAACGCCGCGUGAGUGAUGAAGGUCUUCGGAUCGUAAAACUCUGUUAUUAGGGAAGAACAAAUGUGUAAGUAACUAUGCACGUCUUGACGGUACCUAAUCAGAAAGCCACGGCUAACUACGUGCCAGCAGCCGCGGUAAUACGUAGGUGGCAAGCGUUAUCCGGAAUUAUUGGGCGUAAAGCGCGCGUAGGCGGUUUUUUAAGUCUGAUGUGAAAGCCCACGGCUCAACCGUGGAGGGUCAUUGGAAACUGGAAAACUUGAGUGCAGAAGAGGAAAGUGGAAUUCCAUGUGUAGCGGUGAAAUGCGCAGAGAUAUGGAGGAACACCAGUGGCGAAGGCGACUUUCUGGUCUGUAACUGACGCUGAUGUGCGAAAGCGUGGGGAUCAAACAGGAUUAGAUACCCUGGUAGUCCACGCCGUAAACGAUGAGUGCUAAGUGUUA